GACGAACGCUGGCGGCGUGCCUAAUACAUGCAAGUGGGACGCAAGGGAACACACUGUGCUUGCACACCGUGUUUUCUUGAGUCGCGAACGGGUGAGUAACGCGUAGGUAACCUGCCUAUUAGCGGGGGAUAACUAUUGGAAACGAUAGCUAAUACCGCAUAAUAUUAAUUAUUACAUGAUAAUUGAUUGAAAGAUGCAAGCGCAUCACUAGUAGAUGGACCUGCGUUGUAUUAGCUAGUUGGUAAGGUAAGAGCUUACCAAGGCGACGAUACAUAGCCGACCUGAGAGGGUGAUCGGCCACACUGGGACUGAGACACGGCCCAGACUCCUACGGGAGGCAGCAGUAGGGAAUCUUCGGCAAUGGACGAAAGUCUGACCGAGCAACGCCGCGUGAGUGAAGAAGGUUUUCGGAUCGUAAAGCUCUGUUGUAAGUCAAGAACGUGUGUGAGAGUGGAAAG
rnacentral:rRNA from 1 species